rnacentral:rRNA from 55 species
AACGACUCUCGGCAACGGAUAUCUCGGCUCUCGCAUCGAUGAAGAACGUAGCGAAAUGCGAUACUUGGUGUGAAUUGCAGAAUCCCGUGAACCAUCGAGUCUUUGAACGCAAGUUGCGCCCAAAGCCUUCCGGCCGAGGGCACGUCUGCCUGGGCGUCACGC